GACGAACGCUGGCGGCGUGCUUAACACAUGCAAGUCGAACGGAAAGGCCCUGCUUUUGUGGGGUGCUCGAGUGGCGAACGGGUGAGUAACACGUGAGUAACCUGCCCUUGACUUUGGGAUAACUUCAGGAAACUGGGGCUAAUACCGGAUAGGAGCUCCUGCUGCAUGGUGGGGGUUGGAAAGUUUCGGCGGGUGGGGAUGGACUCGCGGCUUAUCAGCUUGUUGGUGGGGUAGUGGCUUACCAAGGCUUUGACGGGUAGCCGGCCUGAGAGGGUGACCGGCCACAUUGGGACUGAGAUACCGCCCAGACUCCUACUGGAUGCAAGAGUCGGGAGUAUUGCACAAUGGGCGGCAGCCUGAGACAGCAACGCCGCGUGCGGGAUGACGGCCUUCUGGUUGUAAACCGCUUUCGCCUGUGACGAGGCGUGAGUGACGGUAAUGAAUAAAGAAGCACCGGCUAACUACGUG
rnacentral:rRNA from 1 species